UCCUGGUUAACCCAGGCAGUCUCAUUAGAGUUCCCAGCCUAAACUGUUGGCAACUAAUGAUAAGGGUUGCGCUCGUUGCGGGACUUAACCCAACACCUCACGGCACGAGCUGACGACAGCCAUGCAGCACCUGUGCAAAGGCCCCGAAGGGAGAUACUAUUUCUAGUACUGUCCUCUGCAUGUCAAGCCCAGGUAAGGUUCUUCGCGUUGCAUCGAAUUAAACCACAUGCUCCACUGCUUGUGCGGGUCCCCGUCAAUUCUUUUGAGUUUCAGCCUUGCGACUGUACUCCCCAGGCGGUAUACUUAUCGCGUUAGCUUCGGCACAGUCGGGGUUGAGUCCAACUACACCAAGUAUACAUCGUUUACGGCUAGGACUAC
rnacentral:misc_RNA from 1 species